CCUACGGGAGGCAGCAGUGGGGAAUUUUCCGCAAUGGGCGAAAGCCUGACGGAGCAAUACCGCGUGAGGGAAGAAAGCCUACUGGGUUGUAAACCUCUUUUUUCAGGGAGGAAAAAAUGACGUGUACCUGAAGAAUAAGCAUCGGCUAACUCCGUGCCAGCAGCCGCGGUAAGACGGAGGAUGCAAGUGUUAUCCGGAAUUACUGGGCGUAAAGCGUCUGUAGGUGGUUUAAUAAGUCAACUGUUAAAUCUUGAGGCUUAACUUCAAAACAGCAGUCGAAACUAUUAGACUAGAGUAUAGUAGGGGUAAAGGGAAUUUCCAGUGGAGCGGUGAAAUGCGUAGAUAUUGGAAAGAACACCGAUGGCGAAAGCACUUUACUGAGCUAUUACUAACACUCAGAGACGAAAGCUAGGGUAGCAAAUGGGAUUAGAUACCCCAGUAGUCCUAGCUGUAAACAAUGGAUACUAGAUGUUGAACAGAUCGACCUGUGCAGUAUUAAAGCUAACGCGUUAAGUAUCCCGCCUGGGAAGUAUGCUCGCAAGAGUGAAACCUUAGAAGUAUGACGNGNGAGAGCGACGACGACGACGAGAGGAGAG
rnacentral:rRNA from 1 species